GUGAAGCUGGUGAGUAAUUGGGCUAAAUAAGAAUUUUCCCCAGGUGAAAAUGGGGACCCGAACUGAAAAUGGAGGAAACCCACCUCCUGAGUCUUUGGUGAAAGAGUGAAGCUACAUUCCAGACUACGACUUUAUGACCUUUCUAUCACUUGGUAAGGAGUGAUCCCAAAAAGUGGCGUGAUCCUUGCAAGUGAGUAAGAUGCCUGCCUUCCUGGAGGCCCGGAGAAAUUGAGGGAGGGAAAGCGUCCUUCAAGAUGCGGCUUCCUUUUUGCAGAAGUGCUACUCUGUUGAAGUUUAUACAGAAUUGUCAGUUAAUGAAGUGUCGUCACAGACCACACUCUCAGCAGCAGCUCAAAACAGUUCAGGACAACACAGAAGAAGGGAAAAUAGAAGGAAUCACGCAAGGCAGUGGGACUAGGAAUCCCUUUUAAAGUUUCUCUAAAUCACUUAAAGUCAUCUAUCCUUCGUCAUGAGAAGAUACCUGUUGGAACAGAAGUAAAGGUAGAUGCAGAGCUCAGACAGCGCUUGAUCACGAGGCUUGCAGACAAUCACUUUCCCAUUCGCUGAGACAAUCAUCUCCUCAGUGAAUGUGAAAAAGCCAGAAAAAACUUCCUAUGGGCAUUCUACCUGGGCAUAUAUACAUAGGUAAUUAUACUACAGUAUGCCGCUCCUGACGUAGGAAGGGUUAAUAAUCACUGGAAAAGGCUUGCCAACAAACUGUGACCCGGAGGUCAGAAGGCCGGUUAGCCAAUGACAGAAAGUGGCUGUCUAUGCUGUAAAGAUAGAGAUUUUUGUUUCUAUGGAACUGAGAUUCAAGGGUGUCACAUAUGGUAAAUAGAACAUGUAUUUCAAAGUCUAAUUUGUGUGUUCAAAAUCAACUGAAUAUAUGUCAAAUCUGUGUAAGAAACAAGUGAAUUCAUAUGCAAUUGUAAUUUGAUAGAAUCUCUAUGAAUAAGAUCAGAUCCUCUGUAAACGGCAAGCUUAGGAGUUUUGUACUAUUAGCUGUAAGAGCCAAGCUGUUUUGGUGAUUUUAGUGGUCUUUAGCUCAUUUUGAGAAAAUAACACUUAGCAUCUUGUUCCACACUGUACCUCUAAAGCAUGUGAAGAUCAAGAGCGUAAAUAUCCAUUUCAUAGAUUUUUUAAAUUAAUUUGGUAUUAUUUUUGUUAUUUUCUCUACAUAGGUCACUGAGUUGCCAUAGCCAAUGGAAUUUUUCAGGUUGCAAAGGGCUUAUCACAAUUUUAUAUCUUUACUUUCUUGUAUUUAUUUCUAGUACUUGGGAAAACUAGUUUAAUAUGGACUGCAUGUGAUGUGGCUCUGGUCAUGGCCAAUGAGGGAACAGAAAAAGAUACAAAGGCAAUAUUUGGAAAAAGGGGAGAAAAAAAGUGGAAAAAUAUUUGACCCCUAUAAGGAAUAGUAAAAGUAUAACCAUCAGGAACUCUAAAUGUUUGGAGAGAAUAAAAUCAUAUAGAUCUGAAAAUGCGGACAUGAGAAAAAGUGCUAAUCUCAAGCAUGUUCAUGUAAAGUAAAGGUGUAGGCUCUUACAGUGCCUCAUGCUGAGCUAGUUAUGUGUGACCAUGUAUACGUUUAAGUUGAUUUAUUAAACCAAUUUCUUUAUCACUUCAUAAUAGCACACAAUAGUGGCAUUUUGAUGCAUCAUGCCUCUUCAGGGUAGCAACCUGAUGCUAGGCUCUAUCUUCACGGUGGAUUUUUCCCUGAUCAGAGUAAUCUUUGCACUUAAUGAAUUUCUCUUAUAACUGUCCUGUCUCAUGACAUGAAUAAGAGUUUAUGCUAUUUUAUGGUUUUCCACCAAGAUCCUUUUUAACCUUCGUUAUUGCAAAAGUACUUAUCUUGAGGAGUCAAAAUGGAAAAAAAGGAACCCUACAAAUUAUCUUGGAUAUUACAAUGUUGGGGGAGAGGCUGAUGUAAUAUAUCUCAGUGUCCCUUUCUUUGUGGUGGACAAAUACUAUUAACUUCCAUUCUGUGGAUAGGAAAAAAAAGUUCUGGAUUAUUGCUGUCAAUUUGUUUAAAAACAUAAUAUUCCAUGGGCCAUUAAGAAAUUGAGAAAUGUUGUGUUUUAUUUCCUUGCUGUGUUUAAGAGAAGUAUAUGAUAGAUCCAUUAAGGGAAGACUAUCAUAAUAAUAAUCAUAACCAUAAUCAUAAGUGACCAUCUUUGUAAAGUGAUUUAUUAUUGACUAAGAUUUUAUCUACAUGCUUGCAUUUACUGUUACUGGCAGGUGGAUAUAGUAUUGACCACAAAGCCUGAUGUCAUCUCUGGGAGUUGAAUUUUAUCUUAUAUAAAUGUCUAAGUAGUAUAUCUAUGUCUCAAGAUGUUUUGGUAAAAUUACACUUUUGUUCCUCUCUCACAACAUUAAUUUGAUGCUUUUAAUGUUUUCUUUUGUAUGCUUUAUUUAAUUUCCCUAAAUACUUUGAGGGUAUUUAUUGUCUUAUUAAUAUUAUUAUCUCUGCAUCAGUUUGUCCAGUGUCUAAAGGAUUGUUGGUGCUUAACAAAUAUGUAUUGAAUUUAAUUUAACUGAGUAGUAGCAUUUUCUUUGAGGGUAAGAUUUUGGAUAAUUUGAUGAGAAAAGCUUCGUGUUAAUUUCUCUUUGGAGGGGAGGGUCUCCAUCGGUAAAUUUUAUGAGAGUUUAAGGGAGGUAUUCAAUUGCCUAAAUCAGCUGAGAAAAUAGUAUCUAAAAUGAAUUAUUUUGUGUGGCAAGGACUCCCUAAAUAAAUAAGAAGAAAUUUGUUUUUUUCUUAUUUUUCUCCUUUAGAUAGCCACAUGAAGUGAACAAGGGGCCUCUCAUAAACUAUUCCAAUAGAGAAAAAGCCUAAUACUUUGAAAUAGUCUUUAGCCAGUGAAGCAUUCUUGCAACACAGGCAUCCUUCUGAGAAGAAUAAAGUAUUGCUUUCAAGUGGGUUAAUGAAGUCAACUGGCACUUAUAAUAUGCUAAGUCAAAUCAUUCUUUUCAACACUCUUUGCUAAUUCCAGAAUUUAAUUUUCAUGCAACUCUAAAAAUUUAACCACAUCAACUUGAGAUCUUAACCCUUCCUGAAAGAAAGAUGUUGUUAAUAAUGACUUUUCUAAAUAAAAUUGCUCAGGUUUAUCCUGAGACAUAUGUCAGUGGUGAUGCUGAGGUAUUAUAUACGUAUGCACACACACAUAUGUAAUAAGUUUGUGAAAAUAUAAAACAAAAUCAUAUUGAUAAUGGUGAUUAGAUAUGCUUUUUAAUGGUAUUUUGUAUGAUCACUCACCAGUUGGUGCAUUAUCUAGACAGGCUCACAAGGCUUUUAAUGGAAGUGAAAAAUGUCCUCCCUAAAACAUGAGCCUACCCCUAAGGAAGUAAAAUGA
rnacentral:lncRNA from 1 species